CCUACGGGUGGCUGCAGUGAGGAAUAUUGGUCAAUGGCCGGAAGGCUGAACCAGCCAUGCCGCGUGAAGGUCAGUGCCCUAUGGGCGUUAAACUUCUUUUGUGCGGGAGCAAUAAUGGUCACGUGUGACCAGACGAGAGUACCGUACGAAUAAGCAUCGGCUAACUCCGUGCCAGCAGCCGCGGUAAUACCGGGGAUGCAAGGCUUAUCCGGAUUUAUUGGGUUUAAAGGGUGCGUAGGCUGUGUGGUAAAUCAGCGGGGAAAUGCCCCCGGUCAACGGGGUGAAGUGCCAUUGAUACUGGCUUGCUGGAAUGCGGAUGCGGUAGGAGGAAUGUGUGGUGUAGCGGUGAAAUGCAUAGAUAUCACACAGAACACCGAUUGCGAAGGCAUCUCACGAAUCCGCGAUUGACGCUGAUGCACGAAAGCGUGGGUAUCAAACAGGAUUAGAUACCCUGGUAGUC
rnacentral:rRNA from 1 species